GUUACGUAUUGCCUCGCAUGAAGCAACUAUUCGAUUCCUCAAAUCAUUCUCAUUGUCAAUUAGGAUGGACACAUCUGUCAUUACAAAAUU